rnacentral:rRNA from 1 species
GACGAACGCUGGCGGCGUGCUUAACACAUGCGAGUCGAACGGAAAGGCCCUGCUUUUGUGGGGUGCUCGAGUGGCGAACGGGUGAGUAACACGUGAGUAACCUGCCCUUGACUUUGGGAUAACUUCAGGAAACUGGGGCUAAUACCGGAUAGGAGCUCCUGCUGCAUGGUGGGGGUUGGAAAGCUUCGGCGGUUGGGGAUGGACUCGCGGCUUAUCCGCUUGUUGGUGGGGUAGUGGCUUACCAAGGCUUUGACGGGUAGCCGGCCUGAGAGGGUGACCGGCCACAUUGGGACUGAGAUACGGACCAGACUCCUACGGGAGGCAGCAGUGGGGAAUAUUGCACAAUGGGCGGAGGCCUGAUGCAGCAACGCCGCGUGCGGGAUGACGGCCUUCGGGUUGUAAACCGCUUUCGCCUGUGACGAAGCGUGAGUGACGGUAAUGGGUAAAGAAGCGCCGGCUAACUACGUG